CUUAUCAAUAUUUUAAAAAUCGUGAAAAAAUAUAAAACAUGGUUCCCCAAGGAUGUAUGAACUAAGGAAGUCUGGAUAAAUGCUACUCGGAGAGAUUUUUUUUCCAACGAAGUACAGUGUCAUAUGUUCCAGACACUUUUUCACGAAACCACCAGAUUGUCACGAAAGCUUGAAAAAUCAACGGCGUUUGUUUAGUUUAUCCACUCCUACACUAAUUUACCAAUACUGACGCCAACGCAAGACCUACCAGAAUUUUUAACACCAGAAAUUCUUCUAAAUCCCCAGGUCACGGAAAUCAAUAAAAAUACGACAAAAUCGUCUCAUGAAAUAAAGUGUUCAAGAUCAGCUCUCUAAUUUUAAGGACGUUCAUUAUUCAGGAUUUGAUAAAAUCAUGGUAUUUUUCUAAACUAUAAUUUUACCUAUAUAUGAACUAACCUUAUGAAAUACCUGAAAUGAAUUACAAUAUGCAGAUUUAACUCCAAGAAAAAGGAAAAUGAAAAGUCAAAUUGGUCACCUUCUUUUUAGUUUGACUAAAAAGAAGAAAGAUAUAAAGAGGCUGGAAGAUAAAACAAGGAGACUAAAAAAGAUAGCUUCUAAUUUAAAAUAAACUUUAGACACACAAAGAGAUCAUUAAUUUUUAAAGAGAAUGAAGAAAUUUUAAAAAGUAUUGGCGUAGAAAAUAGGGAAUUAAUUCAGCCACAACACCAAAAAUUUCUUAAAGGGAAUUCAAAAUUCAAAAAAAUUCUUUAUUCAAUUUAGGAUGAUAUACAUCAUUUAUUGACGUCAAAAAAUUAUUUAAACUAAGUCUACUGCAGCCUUUCAAAGCGCAGGUGAAGAAGAAGCGGCAAACUUCAAACUUCACCGCAGCCUUUU